UGUACCUAGUUAGGUCUAAUUUUUUAAUUUUUGUAAAAAUUGUUGUGAACAAAAUGAUUUUAUUCUUAAGUGCAAUAUUCAUGUAACAAGUAGCCGUCGUCGUGACAACAUAAAUAAUUGUGUUUUUAUUGACCUAAAGCCCGUCAUUAAUAUUUUCAUCACUUUGUAAAGGUCACUUCCAUCAACAAAUAUAUGUACUUCAUUCAAACUAAUACAUAAAGUUAAAUCUACCAAAAAUCAAUAUCAAAUUUUCAACAAAAAAAAUAUUAAAUGGUUUAUUCCGUUGAAAAAUUGUAAGGGGAUGUUAAAAAUGAUUUCCAUUUGCGUAACCAAAAAAUUUCGAAGAUUUGUGGACAGUUGUAAGAAACAGCAAAUAGGAAUAACAAAUCAACAAGAUGCACAUGGACAAUGGGCCUUAAUGUGUCCUACUCCAUUACGGACAUUACGGACAGCCACUUCAACCAAACCUAAGAAGAACCUAAUUGUAAAUUAAAUGUAUUACGAAGUUCCUGCCAUUUUUUGACCUAUCCGGCGGAUAGCAAAACACAAGUUUGCAUGUCAACGUUUAACAGAAUAUGGCUGAUAAAAUUACCCAUUUAGUCAUUUCUUUGGAUAGAAGAAAACUUGUAGACAAAAUUAUUAUAAGGUUAAGAUUACUAGACUGAGUGGGAAGGAAAGUAUAAAGAAACGCCAGAAAUGCAUUCCACAAAAUCUAAGUACAGUUUAAAAGCUUUUAUAGUCCCUUGAUUUUAAGUUCGCUUACUUACCUAUAUUAAAAAAACAAAAAAUAAUAUUUAAUUUAUGCAAUUAAGCAUGUAUGCUUUAUUCAACUUUGUUUAUGUUUAUAAAAAGCAUUUUUAUAUUUUUUUAACUGAGGCUAUAGAUUUGUAUGUAAUUCAUUACAAAGAAUUACAAAAAUAUUCUCAAAUUAAAUGCAUUUCGUUGUUAAUCAUUUGAAAAAGGGAAAGAAAAUAAUUCCUAUUAACGUACAUAUGUAUGUAUGUACAGUCUCGGCCAUAUUAUUAGACGCACUUAAGAUAUUAUGCAAAAUCUUAAUUUCCAGCUAUUUUAAUCAGGUUUUCGAAUAUUGUAAUGCAUUUAAAUUGUUUUGAAUGCAGAAUAGAAACUACUUUCUAUUCCGAAUAAUCUAAUAAUCAUACAAAUUCUGCAGUGCGUCUAAUAAUAUGGCCAGGGACUGUAUGUAUUAUUUCAAUACGAAAAAGUUAAAUAAACAAUUUGAAAACGUUUCGUGCUUUGAAAUAGAAAUACCAGAACAGAAAACUAAACUUUACUUUUAUUUAAAUUUAUUGACUGCAAAAUCAAAUUAGUAAAAGGGUAAUCCAAUGCAUUGCUAUGAUUAGUUUUGUAAGCAUGCUACAUAGCAAUGAGUAUAAAUGCAUUACAAUAACUAAUUAGAGGAUAUACAAAAAAACUAGAAAUCAGGCAAUGAGUUGUGAAAUAAAAUAAUUCCGAUGGGAAUGUGAGAAUUGUAUUUGUCAUGACUAAUUCGUGACAUUAGAUUUCUACGUCUCCAAUAUGUUAUGGCAAAUCAUAUUGAAAGCCGCUUAGAGCCGACCGAUGGCAUACCUACAGUAAAAUACAUAGAUGUUAAGAUACAAAAUUCAAUUAAUAGUUUUUACGUCACUAAUGGAAUUUUACCUUCAAUACAUUUGUUAGUCUGUGACAGAAAAAAUAAGAGCCAGUCUACACGUAAUUUUUAUCAUAAAGGUUAAAUAAAUGCUUUAAGUCAGAUGAAAACAUUUGGCAAUUAUAUCAUGGUUGUGUCUAUCGUAUAAAAAGCAUUUGGAUGGGUGCUUGUGGUAUGUAAAGGUGGUCCUUUAAAUAAAAACAGUAAAUGCUUUUAAAUUAAAGAUGUUUGUGUUUUAUUAAAUUGCAGAAAUUUUAUUAUUUUAUCGAUGUCCUAAGGCAUUUAUUUAUUUUCUUAUUUCUUAUAUAGAGCUCACGUAAGAAAUAAUAUACAUAGAUAAGUAGGUUGAUUCAUAUUAUUUGCAGAGCAGAGGAAAUCUUCCAAGUAAGGCCUCAUAUUGAUUCAUUCAUUUUUGUACAGAUGGAUUCAAGAUAAAUGAGGAAGUUGGUAUGGUAGUGGUGUGUACUCAAAAAAGCUUAAUCUAAGCAUCUCAUUGCGGCCGCCUAAUCAUUGUAGCGUCUUCCAAGCCGAAAUUUUAGUGAUCAAAGAGGUUCUCUCAACCAAAUCUCAAACGGCUCUCGAUUGUCGAUCGUCUCUUAUGGAGAUGGCGCAGCAAUUUACCAUUCACCUAUGUUGGGUGCCGGGCCACAGAGACAUCACGGGAAAUUGUAGAUCCGAUGAACUCGCUAAAAAUGGAACCGUCAUGCCUAUUUCACCUGAAUGGGAGAAGAUGUUUAUACCGAUAGCUACAUGAAAACUUGUGCUCAAAGAGACAGCUUUUGCGAUAGCAAACUCUAGGUGGCAUAAUUAACCAACAUGCGCAGCCACAAAGCUCAUAUGUCCUUCACUGGACCUAAAGCGCUCUAAAGACUUCAUAUUAGCUCCCUAAUAGGUGUCCUUACGGGACACUGUCUGACACGCAAUACAUCUUGGUGUAGCCUCAAAUGACUUCUGCAGGUGCUGUAUGGAAGAGGAAGUGAACUAGCUAAAAAGGAUAUCAAAAAAGAGGCUGGGAUGCGACCCACACUGAAAACUUCCCAUCCCGUCUGUCAAUUUGUCGCUUAAAAAUUUUAUUUUUUAUGAAAAAACGGACUGUUGGAUUUUUAUAUACAAAUUACUGAAUAUCGAAAAUAAUAUUUUCUGUGAAAUAAAAUAAGUUUUUUUACCAAGUUUUAGUAUUGUUUUUUUUUAGAGUUUUAUUUUUUGUACAAAAACUGUCAAUUCGAUUUUUUUCAAAAUUUUAUCGAAUGUUGAAAACAAUAUUUCUUAUAAUAUAAAAUUAGUUUGAAGCCAAUAUUUCAAAUUUUUGAAAAGAUAUUUGAGUUGAAAAUCAAUUUUUACCAACUUUUAUAAAUUUUUUUGUUAGGUUUUUAUUUUUUGUA